UGUUACUUAUAGUGAUUAUUUUUUGGAAUAUUAAUAUUAAUGAAAUUUAACGGAUUUGGCGGCAAGACAGCCCAUUUAGAGGAACCUGCCCUAUAAACGAUGAUCCACGAUAAACCUUACUUUUGUUAGUUAACAGUUUGUAUACCGCUGUUGUCAGUCAGUUUUUUUAGAAAACUUUCAAUAAUGGGAUUUCCAUUGACUUCAAGUAAAGGUGCAGCUUAUGCAAAAGAUAGAGGUGGGUUACAAUUAUGAGAUUAAUACGGAUGAAACACAGGAAGAGUUUUCUGAAGGUGGAUUUAAUAGUAAAACUUAUAAUGGUUUGAUAUGAGCACUGUCUUGU
rnacentral:rRNA from 1 species